UAGGGAAUCUUCGGCAAUGGGGGCAACCCUGACCGAGCAACGCCGCGUGAGUGAAGAAGGUUUUCGGAUCGUAAAGCUCUGUUGUAAGUCAAGAACGGGUGUGAGAGUGGAAAGUUCACACUGUGACGGUAGCUUACCAGAAAGGGACGGCUAACUACGUGCCAGCAGCCGCGGUAAUACGUAGGUCCCGAGUGUUGUCCGGAUUUAUUGGGCGUAAAGCGAGCGCAGGCGGUUUGAUAAGUCUGAAGUUAAAGGCUGUGGCUCAACCAUAGUUCGCUUUGGAAACUGUCAAACUUGAGUGCAGAAGGGGAGAGUGAAAUUCCAUGUGUAGCGGUGAAAUGCGUGGUUAUAUGGAGGAACACCGGUGGCGAAAGCGGCUCUCUGGUCUGUAACUGACGUUGAGGCUCGAAAGCGUGGGGAGCGAACAGG
rnacentral:rRNA from 1 species